UGGGUGCCGUCAGAAUGAGACAAGGGCGUAAAUUUCAGUUGGGGGGGUCAAUAAACAUAAAAUUUCUCAAGAGCGAUUUUUGAAGGGGACACAAAU